rfam:Gossypium raimondii Chr09_contig_618, whole genome shotgun sequence.
UGUUAAAAUUUUCAUCCAUUUGCAUUGUUAAAAAUUGACAUGAUUGAUAGAAUAACUAAAUAGUGACACGUGGUAUGCCAUGUGUAUCUCAUGUUGACGUACAGGACUUGUUUUUAUCAAUAAAAAUGGAUGAAAUUUUUAACA